rnacentral:rRNA from 1 species
GACGAACGCUGGCGGCGUGCUUAACACAUGCAAGUCGAACGCUGAAGCUCAGCUUUUGUUGGGUGGAUGAGUGGCGAACGGGUGAGUAACACGUGAGUAACCUGCCCCCUUCUUUGGGAUAACGCCCGGAAACGGGUGCUAAUACUGGAUAUUCACUGGUCUUCGCAUGGGGGUUGGUGGAAAGGGUUUUUCUGGUGGGGGAUGGGCUCGCGGCCUAUCAGCUUGUUGGUGGGGUGAUGGCCUACCAAGGCUUUGACGGGUAGCCGGCCUGAGAGGGUGACCGGUCACAUUGGGACUGAGAUACGGUCCAGACUCCUACGGGAGGCAGCAGUGGGGAAUAUUGCACAAUGGGCGCAAGCCUGAUGCAGCGACGCCGCGUGAGGGAUGGAGGCCUUCGGGUUGUGAACCUCUUUCGCUCAUGGUCAAGCCGCAACAAUGGUUGUGGUGAGGGUAGUGGGUAAAGAAGCGCCGGCUAACUACGUG